CAUAGUUGUAAAUGUGUGUGUGAUGUUUUUCUACAUCAGAAACGGAUUUCACAACAACUCCAUCUUAGAUCCUAGCAGACAUGAAGAAGCUCUGUGCUUUCACUAUUUCAUUUUUGUCUCUGAAGUUUUCUCUCAUCUUGUGCUGUUUGACUGAAGCAAGUUGCUUUUGGAGGAUAAAGAAUAGUGAAGAUAGUGAUGGAGAUUUGCAAAGAGAAUGUCAUUUUUACCUUUGGGUAAUUGAUAAACCUAUUGAAGAUAAUUUUUAUAAUUCAGUUUUAAAUUUUAGAAUAUCAGCAAGUGAAUAUGAGUUUCUUCUGGUAAUGUUUUUUGCUACUGAUGAGAUCAACAAGAAUCCUUAUCUUUUACCCAACAUAACUUUGAUAUUCAGCAUCGUUGGUGGUCACUGUCAUGAUUUAUUGAGAGGUCUGGAUCAAUCAUAUACACAAAUAAAUGGACGUGUGAAUUUUGUUAAUUAUUUCUGUUAUUUAGAUGAUUCAUGUAACAUAGGCCUUACAGGACCAUCAUGGAAAAAAUCCUUAAAACUGGCAAUGGAUUCUUCAAUACCAAUGGUUUUCUUUGGACCAUUUAAUCCUAACCUACGCGACCAUGACCGGCUGCCCCAUGUCCAUCAGGUAGCCCCCAAGGACACACAUUUAUCCCAUGGCAUGGUCUCCUUGAUGUUUCAUUUUAGAUGGACUUGGAUAGGACUGGUCAUCUCAGAUGAUGACCAGGGUAUUCAGUUUCUCUCAGAUUUAAGAGAAGAAAGCCAAAGGCAUGGGAUCUGUUUAGCUUUUGUUAAUAUGAUCCCAGAAAACAUGCAGAUAUACAUGACAAGGGCUACAAUAUAUGAUAAACAAAUUAUGACAUCUUCAGCAAAGGUUGUUAUCAUUUAUGGUGAAAUGAACUCUACUCUAGAAGUAAGCUUCAGAAGAUGGGAAGAUUUAGGUGCUCGGAGAAUCUGGAUCACAACCUCACAAUGGGAUAUCAUAUUAAAUAAAAAAGAAUUCACUCUUAAUCUCUUCCAUGGCCCUAUCACUUUUGCACACCACAAAGUUGAGAUUCCUAAAUUAAGGAAUUUUAUGCAAACAAUGAACACUGCCAAAUACCCAGUAGAUAUUUCUCAUACUAUACUGGAGUGGAAUUAUUUUAAUUGUUCAAUCUCUAAGAACAGCAGUAAAAUGGAUCUUUUUACAUCCAACAACACAUUGGAAUGGACAGCACUGCACAACUAUGAUAUGGCCAUGAGUGAUGAAGGUUACAAUUUGUAUAAUGCUGUUUAUGUUGCGGCCCACACCUACCAUGAACACAUUCUUCAACAAGUAGAGUCUCAGAAAAAGGUAGAACACAACAGAUAUUUCACUGUUUGUCAGCAGGUAUCUUCCUUGAUGAAAACCAGGGUAUUUACGAACCCGGUUGGAGAACUGGUGAACAUGAAGCAUAGGGAAAAUCAGUGUACAGAGUAUGAUAUUUUCAUCAUUUGGAAUUUUCCACAAGGCCUUGGAUUAAAAUUGAAAAUAGGAAGCUAUAUACCUUGUUUUCCAAAGAGUCAACAACUUCAUAUAUCUGAUGAUUUGGAAUGGGCCAUGGGAGGAACAUCAAUAUAGAACAGUGUGUGAAAUGUCCAGAUGAUAAGUAUGCCAACAUAGAACAAACCUACUGCCUCUCAAGAGCUGUAUCAUUUCUGGCUUUUGAAGAACCACUGGGGAUGGCUCUAGGCUGCAUGGCACUAUCCUUCUCGGCCAUCACAAUUCUAGUACUAGUCACAUUUGUGAAGUACAAGAAUACUCCCAUUGUGAAGGCCAAUAACCGCAUUCUCAGCUACAUCCUGCUCAUCUCUCUAGUCUUCUGUUUUCUCUGCUCCCUGCUCUUCAUUGGACAUCCUGACCAGGUCACCUGCAUCUUGCAGCAGACCACAUUUGGAGUAUUUUUCACUGUGUCUGUUUCUACAGUGUUGGCCAAAACAAUAACUGUGGUCAUGGCUUUCAAGUUCACUACUCCAGGAAGAAGGAUGAGAGGGAUGUUGGUAACAGGUGCACCUAAGUUGGUCAUUCCCAUUUGUACCCUAAUCCAACUUGUUCUCUGUGGAAUCUGGUUGGUAACAUCUCCUCCAUUUAUUGACAGAGAUAUACAAUCUGAACAUGGGAAGGUAGUCAUUCUUUGCAAUAAAGGCUCUGUCAUUGCCUUCCACAUUGUCCUGGGAUACUUGGGCUCCUUGGCUCUGGGGAGCUUCACUUUGGCUUUCUUGGCUAGGAACCUUCCUGACACAUUCAAUGAAGCCAAAUUCCUAACUUUCAGCAUGCUGGUGUUCUGCAGUGUCUGGAUCACCUUCCUCCCUGUCUACCACAGCACCAGGGGGAAGGUCAUGGUGGUUGUGGAGGUUUUCUCAAUCUUGGCUUCUAGUGCAGGGUUGCUAAUGUGUAUCUUUGUCCCAAAGUGUUAUGUUAUUUUAGUUAGACCAGAUUCAAAUUUUACAAAGAACCGCAAAGGUAAAUUGCUUUAUUGAAAUUUUCAUGGUAUGAAAAUGUUAGAUUAUAUUCAACUUAUCUUAUUCUUCAUCUUAACAAAAGUAGUACUUCAUCAUAUAAAAAAUUAAGUAAUAUACAGAUUUAUACUUACAAACUGGACAGCAAACAUGAAUAUGUUUAGAACUGGGAAUCUCAAUUGAGGAAUGGGUAUCAUCAUUUUGACCUGUGGUUAUGUGUUUAAGCCAUGUGUUUAAUUAAUGAUUAACAUGAGGUUGCCCUACUGUCUGUGAACCAUACCACCUCUAGGCACACUGUCCUUGAGUUAUAAGAUAGGGUACUGCAUACAAAAUGGACAUGAAACCAGUAAUCAACAUUAUCCCUCUUGCUUUCAUGGAGUUCUUGCAUCCAAUUUCAUGCCUUGACUUCAUUCAAUGUACUAUGACAAAGGUACAUAAAUAAAUAAACACUUUCCCCACA